UACGGAGGGGGCUAGCGUUAAUCGGAAUUACUGGGCGUAAGGGGUGCGUAGGUGGUUGACUAAGUUAUCUGCGAAAUCCCUGGGCUUAACCUGGGCAGGUCAGAUGAUACUGGUUGACUCGAGUAUGGGAGAGGGUAGUGGAAUUUCCGGUGUAGCGGUGAAAUGCGUAGAGAUCGGAAGGAACACCAGUGGCGAAGGCGGCUACCUGGCCCAAUACUGACACUGAGGCACGAAAGCGUGGGGAGCAAACAGG
rnacentral:rRNA from 1 species